UAAACCAAACUGAACCACAAAUUAGUUGAACCAUAUUAAAUGGAAUUAAAUGGUUCAUAAACUAAACCAGAAAUUUAAAUCGAACCGCCUUGAAAUCACCGGAGGUCCGCCGUUCGCGUCGCCGGAGCUCAACCGUGGACCACCACCGGCGGCCACUUAACCACCACCUAUCACCCUCUCUUUUAUUAAAUUGGUUUCGAACCAGUUUAUGUUUAUGAAUCAUAAACACUCUAGAUUCUUGGAUUGUUAGGUUUGUCAUUCUUC
rnacentral:lncRNA from 1 species